rnacentral:rRNA from 1 species
AACGAACGCUGGCGGCAGGCCUAACACAUGCAAGUCGAGCGAAGCCUUCGGGCUUAGCGGCGGACGGGUGAGUAACGCGUGGGAACGUACCCUUUGGUACGGAAUAGCCCCGGGAAACUGGGAGUAAUACCGUAUGUGGUCGAGAGGCGAAAGAUUUAUCGCCAAAGGAUCGGCCCGCGUUGGAUUAGGUAGUUGGUGGGGUAAUGGCCUACCAAGCCGACGAUCCAUAGCUGGUUUGAGAGGAUGAUCAGCCACACUGGGACUGAGACACGGCCCAGACUCCUACGGGAGGCAGCAGUGGGGAAUCUUAGACAAUGGGGGAAACCCUGAUCUAGCCAUGCCGCGUGAUCGAUGAAGGCCUUAGGGUUGUAAAGAUCUUUCAGUGGGGAAGAUAAUGACUGUACCCACAGAAGAAGCCCCGGCUAACUCCGUGCCAGCAGCCGCCGUAAAAC